rnacentral:rRNA from 1 species
UACGAAGGGUGCUAGCGUUGUUCGGAAUUACUGGGCGUAAAGCGCGCGUAGGCGGCUUUGCAAGUCAGGGGUGAAAUCCCACAGCUCAACUCCAGAACUGCCUUUGAUACUGAGGAUCUUGAGUUCGGGAGAGGUGAGUGGGAACUGCGAGUGUAGAGGUGAAAUUCGUAGAUAUUCGCAAGAACACCAGUGGCGAAAGGCGGCUCACUGGCCCGAUACUGACGCUGAGGCACGAAAGCGUGGGGAGCAAACAGG